rnacentral:rRNA from 1 species
GUUGACCUCGAAUCGGGUAGGGAUACCCGCUGAACUUAAGCAUAUCAAUAAGCGGAGGAAAAGAAACCAACAGGGAUUGCCCUAGUAACGGCGAGUGAAGCGGCAACAGCUCAAAUUUGAAAUCUGACGUCUUUUGGGCGCCCGAAUUGUAAUUUGCAGAGGAUGCUUCUGGGUAGUCAACGGUCUAAGUUCCUUGGAACAGGACGUCAUAGAGGG